AUAAUUGUCCAAUUCAGGGCACAUUGGCAACUAUUUGUUCUCCACCCAAGGGAAAACACGGUCGUUUGGUUUUGUUCUCUGAGGAAGAAGCCUGAUAUUAACAUCAAAGGCGCAAUUAACAGUGCAAUGAAGACAAUAACCAGUUCUUUUGAAGGCAUGUCUAAUCAAGGUGCACCUCGGUGGGUUGAACCCAAGACUAAUGUGCAAAGCGGAGGGUUUGAGUGCGGAUAUUAUGUCAUGCACUGGAUGUGGUGCAUCGUGACUGUCGGUUUGAAGGAUGAC